GGAAACUAUGGCUAAAUGAAGAUCACAGAGCCAGUUGAUCAGUGGGGAAGCUGCAUCUGAAAUCCAGGACUUCUAGAUCCUGGGUCAACUGCUGUGUGAAACCAACAGCAUCCACUUGGCAGGGAAUCACAUUCCGAAGUGUUACUCAAUUAUUAUCCAGAAAUAAAACUUAAAUCAUCUCUCCUGGCUGACUGAAUGUAAGGUAAUCACAAGCGUAGAGAUAAGAGGCAGGCAGGAACGUGAAGAUCAGAGAGAAGAGAGAUGUGCACCAGAAGUUGGAGUAAUGUGCUUUGAAGAUGGAGGAAGGGACCAUAAAUCAAGGAAUGCAGACAGCCUGUAGAAGCUGGGAAAGGCAAGGAUGAAGAUCCACUCUAGAGUCUCUAGAAGAAAUGCAACCCCGCCAACACCUUGAUUUGAGGACUUCUGACCUUCACAAUGAGAAAAUGAUACAUUUGAGUUGUAAGCCACCCACUUUGUGAAAUAUGUAUCAAUAAUUGAAA